UUGUAAGUCAAAUUGAAAAAUGCUCCACGCUAGAGCAUUUUUCAUUUUUCAAUAUUGUAAGUCAAAUUGAAAAAUGCUCCACGUUAGAGCAUUUUUCAUUU
rnacentral:sRNA from 1 species